ACAGAACACACGAGAAUAGAAAAGUCGCUCUGAGCUACUGCUGGAUCGAGGUUUUUUGCAAUUUGCUAAAAACAAGUGGAUCAGCAGUUCAGAUGAGAACUCCUUAAAUCACUCACUCUUCCAGUCCUUAUCUUAAUUUAACUGGAUUUUCCCUUUUCAGUUAAAUAAGGGGAGGAAACUGCCUGGGCUAGAGGAAAAGGACGCUCCUGAGCUAAGGAUGUUUGCAUCCAGGGCAGCAAUGCCACUUCCUACUACGUGAUAAAGACCAUGAGGACUUUGCAGGACUGCCACCUGCGCCAUUGCCAAAAUGACGGCAUCUGCCAGAACAUUCAGGUUUCCAGCCUGUGAUGCUCCAGCAGCUGUACUCCUGUUGCACCUAAAUCCCCUAAUCAACAUCAGACUGUUAAACUGCUGAACAGAAGAGCAAGAAGAAAGAAGGAACAGCAGUGGAAGAAAGAAUGUCAUCCCAAAUGUUUUCAAGACCAGAAGACUGAAUACUUUAAACCCAACACACCCAUCCACAUUAAAAAACCCCAACUCUCCCACUGCUACUAUGUGUACAUGUUCAGCUUUUUAGGCUGAACUUAUAUAUUCAUAGAAUGUAGUAAUGUAGCAUAGACAAGGUAAAAAAAGAACCACCAACAUAAAACCAGAAAGGAAACAUUACUAAAUCUAUCUGGGGCUAUUAAAAGCAAAAGUAAAAAUGCAUUCUAGCAUAGCAUCCAUUAUAAUGCUCACUUUUAUAUUUUAAAUGUGCAGUUUAUUCCUUUGCAAAGAUUUAACUGGAGAUAUCUCCAGUUACACACCUGCACUGCAGCUCUGCUGUGUCUGUCACUGUGGGCCAGAAGCACCUGAGCUGAAGCAGGCACAGGGCUGAGGGAAGAAAACCAGGAGGACAUAGUGGGGUGUGUGCUGAGCCCUGUGUCAGAGAGGUCCCAGCACUCCAAGGGGAAGGACACAGCCUGGAAGGUGAUGGCAGCUUUCUGUUCACAAAGUUCCCACUGGAAAUCUGAGAGUUAAAACCACAGUCAUGGUGGAUCUUCUUAUAUCCAUUAGUCACACUCUCCCAACAAACUCUGCUAUGUGGUAUCUCUGCUUACACUGCCAUAGAAUCAUCCCAGCCUCCUGAUGAAGUUACUAGAUAAAUUGUGAGUUUUGAAAUACAGAUAGACAAAGGUUAAGAAAACAAACUGUCUUACUAUUUACCGUGGUGCUGCAACAGGCACGUCUCCACCUCUGAUGAAGGGUGAAAAACACCAUUUUGUGCAACAGAAUGGCAAGCACAACUGUUGGGAGGCUGAAAUGGCCUGUUAUGGUGGUGUUAUCCAACCGACAUAUAGCUAUGGGAGAAUGGGACACAGGCUGUGCAGGUGCUCUCUCCAGUAUAUUAACAGAAGCAGUACAACUUACAUAAAGAAAAAAAAAAAAGAUACCAAAAUACUUUAAUUUUAUAAAUUCUGAGUACCAAAAUGGGAGGCAGGACCAGGAUGAAAAAGAAAAAUAGCCUUAAAUUUCUUUCUAAGAUUCACCCACCCUCAUCAAAACUACUGACCAUCAGAUUUUCACAACUUAUCUUCUCUAUUCCUUGCAAAUACAUACAGGCACACCUUCAAAACUGCCCAUGUAAAAUGGAGGCUCUCUGAGCAUCUUUUGUAGGAGGCAACAGUGCCAGGAACACACAGAAAAACAUUCAACUUUUUCUAAAUCAAAAGUCCACAUCAACUGCUGUCCCUCAGGUUUCUACUUUUUUGACUACUGAAGGGAAUCCUUCAUUCAGCAGACAAUAAAAGCUUAAAGUUGCUUCUUGAGAUAUACCUUAGGGUGGGAUAAGUUGGGAAGGGAUGCAGGCCUAGGGUAGAGCUUCUUUGGAGGCACAUAGGGACCUACAGAGUUUGGGACUUAUCCUAUGGAAAGAUCAAGUUAACCCAGAAGAAGCAGAAAGCUGUGGAGGGCUGGACUCCAAAGCCAAGAGUGAGGGGGGGUAGACCUGGGACAAACUGUAGGAAAAGUGUUGGUUCCUAGUCUCAGUGAAACUGGUGUCUAGGGAAAGAUCCAAUUCUUCUUACAGCCAACACAGAAACAAGAUAUGAGGUCUGCAGCUUUCUUAUAACAGUGUAAUUGCAGUACAGGAAUUCUGAUUGUGAAAGACUUGAAAUUGGGAAGAAAAAGGAAAGCUGCUUCUAGAUCCAUGCAGUGACUAGGUAUGCCAAACCUCAAGCUUUCCUCAAAUGGGCACAAUUACUUUCAGCAGGUUCUACUUGUCCUUUGGACAGUUCAGCAUCUAUCCUUUCCAAUACAACAUUUCAGAGGAAAAUAUUGUUGGAGUGCAGGUCAGGAUGCACCCUUUAAAAUCUACAGAGUAGUACAAGCAUUAGGUUUUCCUUACUUAAACAUGGUGUUUCUCUGCCUCCUCUAACCUCUAUGCCUUAUUUUAUUCUUGGCUCCAUUAAUUGUGUGCUUGGCUCUUUCUGUUCUGCCUUCAUUCUCUCUGGUUUUCUUCCUUUUCACUAAAACAGCCUUUCCUUCUUGCAUGCUAUUUCUGCACGACAAAAAUAAUAACAUCAAUCUGAUUCCGCAUGUGUAGCACAGUUGCCUUAAUUCUGUAUUCCCCACAUUUUUCCUCCCAUUAAUACUGCCCACAAGCCCUCUGGAACAAGGCCUGUUCAAAUUUGAACUGUGUUUAGCAAAGCAGCUCCCAGAAGAUCUUGACUGGCCCCUCAGUAUGCCCUGGACAAUGGCACUUAACAACACUGGCUGUUGAACUUCUUACAAAGCCACCAUCCUAGUCCACCUCAGGAUUUGAAAUUUAGGCCAACACAUUAAUACUGUGUCAUCGCCCAGUACUUUACCUGAGGCAAUUUUCUUCAAGGUCACUUUGCCAACAACUUUUAAAGUGGUUGAAGAACUCUACCUCAGAAGCCAGGCAACAAAAAACCCUGUUGUAUCAGGGAAAACUUCCAUGGUACAGAGCAAAAGGCCUCUACCUUCCCUCCCUAAGAAACAUAAGGCACAGUGCCUACCCUGCCCUUGCCUCUGCAGGUCAGAGGGCUUGGGAAGCACUUGCAUCCCAUGGUGUGGAGCAUGGCAGUAACACCUAGAAAGAUCAUUCAAACAAGGCAGGACCUGGGCAUCCUGUUUCUCAUGGCACCAUCCUCAAAAUAUACAACUGCUACCAAAGAUUACACUAUAAAUUUCCCACUGAACCCAAAAUGCUCUUCACAAAUAUCCAAAAGAAAAAGAAUAAAAAUAUUUAUAUCUUCCAACAUGCUGACUGGGUAAACAAGAUUGUAGCUGGGCUUCUGUUAUGUCCCGUUUCCCCAUGUGCAGGCUGAAGCAGACAUAAAUGUUUACAGCAGACACUCAUUGCCCAUGGGCUGCACGCAUGGCCCAUGGGCUGCCCUUCCCAUCCCUCUGCCUGGCAGGAGCAGAGCAAGGCCUGAAUAUGAGGAUGGGUGCCCGCUUAUGUUUAGAAGAUGAUGACCAUUGAGCACUCUGCAGAUGCUGAGCUUCUCAGCCGGCUGAAAUAAAUCAUUCCCACACUAUGUGUGAACACCGUGCAUGGCUACAGGUACACCUGUCAACUUUUCUUCAGGUCCUGAGUGCCUGAUGGACCCUGUUUGUAGCUAUAGAAUAAUGCCUUUCUGCAUCCUCUGUAAGUUAUGAUCCUUCAUAAUUUUUUGUAGGGUCAAUUUACUCUCAGAUAAUUAUCUAAAAUUUAAAUUAAAAAGAAAAUCAUGACCAAAAAUGGUCCUCUCCAGCUCUCACUGCAAGCAUUUCAAAGUCAAUCUGUCCAUUCCAUUGCAACCAGUCACCUUCCCAUUUACAACACCUGUGUGCUAGAAUUCAUUGUGUCAUUAAUGUGACAAAUCUAAUAAUCCAUUACAUUAAUACUUAUUACACUAUGUUGCUUUUGGCCAAAACUAUCAUUCAUACAUAGAGGCAUGUGCCUUUUAUAACUCAACAUCUUUGGAAUAUAUUAGUUUUUCAAUGUACUUUUUAUACUGAAAAAGAUCUUUAAGCCUACAUAUAUCCUACCUACCUGUAAUAACAAUCUUCAAAACUCUUAAAGAUGACAACUAAAAAUCUGUAACCUGUAAAAAACCUUGCAACAUUUCAAUCCCAUGCAGAAAGUAAUUUCCAUCUUUAAUGCUGAUAAGCAAACACAGGAAAUAAACAUCCAAAUAAAGAUACCUGAGGGACUUUUCCAUUUAGGACCUUAAAGAAUACAGUGCUUUAAAGUAAGGAGAAUUCAAAUAGUUAAAAACAAUUUUAUGACAGAAGUUGAGUACAGGAGCUCCAUUUCAGGCAAGCACCUGAAUUCCUGACAUAUCCUAGACUGAAGGUCUGACACGUCCAGUCAGGUCAGAUUUCCAAUGACAUCUCUGUAUUUCCAGCCCAAGUAUAUACUGCUAUAUCACUCUACAGUAAAGAAGGAAGAUCCUUUUCAAGGCUUCUAACAUCUGAAGUGCUUCUGAAAUAUGGAUUUGCUACUCUAGUCAGAGCACCUCAAAUGCACUUAUUCUGCAAAUUUCUUCUUAUAAACCACACCAUUAAUAGGAAACAACUUGUAAUCUACUGAACUCUCAGUAAGAGAACCAACAAUAAAAAUCAAUCAAGUGCUACUGUCUACCCAGUUUUUCUGGUUAAUUCUUGUGGUUUUGUCAUCACUGGGCUCUCUCCCCUUCCUCAGUGCCUCAGAGAACAGACACAUAGAGUGUGUGCCUACUUAGCCAUGCAAAUACAGCAAUGGCAGAGAACAUGCUUGAAAAGUGUCUGAACUAUUAUAGAGAUUCUCUUCCUUUGGGUAGUCACGGUCAUUACUUGUAACAGGAAUAUGCAAAAAACAUUAAAGUGGAUGUAUGAACUCU